CAGGACUCGCAAGACUCCUACAACCCUGUGAACUUAACUAUAAGCACGUUGCUUCGGCGGGUGUCUCGGAGAGGGAGAACCCUCGCCGGGGCGCUAAGCCCGCCGGCAGCCUACUAUACUCUGUCUCUUUGCGUUGGCAUCUCGAGUACAAACAAACAAGUUA
rnacentral:misc_RNA from 1 species